AUAACGUUUCUUUCUUCUAUGUUUUGUACCCUCAAAAACCCAUUUUUGGUGUUCGAAUGUUUAACCUCACCAUUGUUAAUAUAUGUUUGUGCAACAUCACCAUCCUUCGUCUUUGAAUGUUCAAUCUCACCAUCUUUUGAAUUUAAAUCUUUACUCACCACCGUUUGUCUGCGUUGUGCUGACACUGUGUUUUUGCUGACACUAAGUUUACAUUUCUCCUGACAUUGGGAUAUGUUUCAUCUUUUAUCGCAACAAGGACAAGCUUUGACAUCAAAAAUGUAUGAUUUGUAUAAUCUUGUUUACUUAUCAGUGGUCCUAAUGCCACAUGCGUUAGAAUGUAAAGUUUUUAUGUUCCAAUUAUCCCAAUUAUUUAAUGCUCAGGGUCAAUCAAAAUUAGGUUUCCAAAUUUUGGUUUUCACCGUGUGGGUAAAUUGAGUUUUGUUUCAUUAAACUGUUAAUUUUAAUCUUGUAACCCUUGUUUAACCCUUAGUUAUAUCUGUAGUUGCAGACAUGAGCCUAUUCAGUGUGAUAUUUCAUCAUGGGAGUUACUUUAUUUGUGAUAAGCACAUGUUUAACAAGGGAGGGAAUGAAACCAUUGUAGAAGGGAAAGACUCUCAUAAGUGGAGUUUUUAGGUUGUUAGCUUAAUUGAGAAGUGGGGUUAUGAUGAAUUUAGGCGUUGCAGAAAAAUUAUAGUACUUUAAUGAAGGGUUUCUUGAAUUCAUCACUGAUGUACAAGUUAAGGAGAUUUCCAAACACAACCUUGAUAAGUAUGUUGAUGGUCAUAUAUUGGUUGAAAAUGAUGUUAAAUAUGUGUUAAUCAAGGUCUUAAGUCCUAAUGUUGAACAAAUCAAUGAAGGUAGUGAUCAUGUUAGUAGUGAUGAUGAUAUUACAAGCAUUACGUUUGAUGAUAGUGAGAAGAAAGAACUUGUGAAAGAAAUGAAGGAUUUGUGAAAGUUGAAUUGGAAAGACCAAAUCAUGGUACUAGGGUUGAGGUAAAUGGAAAGUAACUAAGAUUUAAGGUAAAAGGAAACAAAAAUCAAAGAAGAUAAAAUCCCCAUCCGAGAUGAACAUGCUUGUUCCAACCAUAGAUAUAGGUUCUAGUUCAAAGAGGAAUUCCAAUAAUGUUGAAACUCAAGAUGCGGAUUAUGAAAGUGAAGAAUUGGAAAGCUAGGAUUGAUGAUAGUGGCAAUGAAAAACUUCCUAAUUAUAAGAAGUUUAGAAGAUAUUUGAUGAACAAGUAUAAGAAGUUUAAGUGAAUUCAAAAAUGCUAUUAGGGAGUGGUAUGUUCUAAAUGAAAGAGAGAUAAAAUUUAUUAAAAAUUAAAGUUAUAGGGUUAGAGUAGAGUGCAGGGGUAAUAGUGGUUUUGUGGUAUUGUGUGGUAAAGUGGGCGACAGACACACCUACCAAUUAAAGAAAUGGGUGGGGACACACACAUGUGUUAGGAUUUUAAAUAAUAAAGCUAUCAAUGCCAGGUGGGUGUCCAAGCUAGUGGUGGAGAAAAGGAAGUCAAUGGGUAAGGUUAAAGUGCAUGAGAUAAUGUAUGUGCUAAGGAUGAAGUACUUUGUGGGUAUCACCAAAGGAAAGGCAUUGAGAGGUAGGAACAUGGCUGAUAAAAUUAUUUAAGGAGAUGCAUAAAAAUAAUAUACCAUGUUGUGGAGAUAUGCAAUAGAAUUAAAGAAGCGAGGUGUUGGAAAUACUAUGAAAAUUAACAUUGAGAGACCAUUUCCAACUAUUCCACAAAUAUUGGGAAAAUUAUAUUUUUGCUUUUAUGUUUGUAAGAAAGGUUUUACUAAAGGAUGUAGAUUUUUUUUAUUGGAGUAGAUGGUUUCCACCAAAUUAAAGUAUGGUUUCAUUUGUUACAUUUACUUUGAUUAACUGUAUUUUCAUGAAAAUUCCAGGGCUUUGUGAGUGUAUUUGAAUAACAAAAUCAAGCAUAGGAUAUGUCUAUGAAAUUUGUAUGUUAGUUUUAAGAAGUUUGGUGGUGGAGCUGUAAUAAGGACCUUUUGAUGGGAGCUGAAAAAAGAUACUUAUUUUUAAGAUUGGAAGAAAAAGAUGAAUGGUCUAAAGUAACUAGACAAAAAAACAUAGGAUUGGGUGAUGGGAGUCCCUACAAAGCUAUGGUGUAAGCAUCCUUUUAGAUUUUACCAAAGUGUGAUGCCUUGACGAACUACCUUAGUAAGUCUUUUAAUAGUAUAAUUACAAGUUAGGGAUAAACCAAUCCUCACAAUGUGUGAGUGGAUUAGAAACUAUUUGAUGAAUUAUUUUGUUAAAAAUUUGUUUAGGCUUGAUAAAUGGAAACACCAGGUCAUGCCCAUACCUAAGACACGACUAGAUAAGAAGGUUCAGUUGAGUGGUCAGUGGCUGCCAACAUGGAGUACGAGUGACAUUUGGAAAGUUGACCAUCCCUAUAAUGGACUUCAAUUUAUAGUGGAGCUUGGGAAAGAAACUUGUUCAUGUUUCUUUUAUGACCUAGUAGAGAUACCUUGUAAACAUGUUUUGUCUGCUAUGCAUUAUUAAAAUUUGAAUUUAGAAUUAUUUGUUGAUUCUCGUUAUAUGAGGGAGGCUUAUAAAAGUGUUAUGAAAACAAUGUAAGUCUCAUUAAUGGUAUAAACAUGUGGCUAACUGUUGAUGUUGAAGAUAGGUUACCAUCACAAUAUAAGAAGGGUCCAUGUAGGCCUAAGAAAUUGAUGUUUAGGGAGCAUGAUGAAUCAGGGUCAAGGAUGAGGAGACAUGGUCUGACAUAUAGGUACACCAAAUAAGACAAAGUUGGCCAUAAUUCAAGGAAAUGUCAAAGCAAUGAAUAAGACCCUAAUGCAUUGAAACAAAAGGUACUAAAGAAAUUUGGAAUGAUCCAGAAAUAAAUGCAAUGAUUGAAGAAAUAAUGGCUCUUUUGAAGAUCAACCUUGGAUCCACAUUCUCAAGUUUGUAAUCCUAGGCUUGUUGUUUAUCAAGGAAUUCCCAAGCCAAAUUCUCAAAGUAAGGUGAAGAAGAAACCACUUGAGAGAAGAAAAAACUUGAGAAGAAGAAACAACAUGAGAAGAAGAAACAUCAAGCACUUAAGAGGAGUAGUUAUAGAUUGAAAACUAUUUGGAGGUCUAAAAACAAUGUUGGCCCAGGAUCAAGUGCAGUUGCAGCAUUGGAAAUUGAUAGUGCACCUGAUGAAUCUCAUGGUCCUACCCAUGAAGAUUAUAAACUAUGGACUUGAGCGCAAAAUGAAUUCAUGGGAUGAAAUUUAUACGCAA